ACGCUCGACACCUACGGAAGGCAGCAGUGGGGAAUAUUGCACAAUGGGGGAAACCCUGAUGCAGCGACGCCGCGUGAAGGAAGAAGUAUCUCGGUAUGUAAACUUCUAUCAGCAGGGAAGAAAGUGACGGUACCUGACUAAGAAGCCCCGGCUAACUACGUGUCAGCAGCCGCGGUAAUCUGAGCGGGCUGGCAAGGC
rnacentral:rRNA from 1 species